UACGUAGGGUGCAAGCGUUAAUCGGAAUUACUGGGCGUAAAGCGUGCGCAGGCGGCUUUGCAAGACAGAUGUGAAAUCCCCGGGCUCAACCUGGGAACUGCAUUUGUGACUGCAAGGCUGGAGUACGGCAGAGGGGGAUGGAAUUCCGCGUGUAGCAGUGAAAUGCGUGGAUAUGCGGACGAACACCGAUGGCGAAGGCAAUCCCCUGGGCCUGUACUGACGCUCAUGCACGAAAGCGUGGGGAGCAAACAGG
rnacentral:rRNA from 1 species